rnacentral:lncRNA from 1 species
UCUAGUUUGUCCAAAAGUAUAUAAAUUGCCUCUUUUGUUUUCAUUUAAUAUCUUCCAAAAUCCCAAUACUUCAUCAGGGGGAAAAAAAAGAAAAGAAAGAAAGAAAUCUGAAGCAGAACAGUGUUUCCUUUGUUUCUCCAGAAGAGGUCAGCAUGCAUCCUACUCUCUCUUUUUCCCCACUUUCAAUUUGCUUCUCAAGUUUCUUUAAAUUCAUUCCUCAGGGAUGAAAGAUUUUGAUUAUGUUGUUUACAGGAACCCUUUUUUUUUGGGGUUAUUCUAUGCCAUAAGGUAAAUUAAAUGAAGAAGAGAAUUAGUGCACGCAUCCGAAAGUGCCUUGCCCAUGCAG